GCAGUAAGGAAUAUUGGUCAAUGGAGGCAACUCUGAACCAGCCAUGCCGCGUGCAGGAAGACAGCCCUCUGGGUCGUAAACUGCUUUUAUUCGGGAAUAAACCUACUUACGUGUAAGUAGCUGAAUGUACCGAAGGAAUAAGGAUCGGCUAACUCCGUGCCAGCAGCCGCGGUAAUACGGAGGAUCCAAGCGUUAUCCGGAUUUAUUGGGUUUAAAGGGUGCGUAGGCGGCUUUUUAAGUCAGGGGUGAAAGACGGUGGCUCAACCAUCGCAGUGCCCUUGAUACUGAAGAGCUUGAAUGAACUAGAGGUAGGCGGAAUGUGACAAGUAGCGGUGAAAUGCAUAGAUAUGUCACAGAACACCGAUUGCGAAGGCAGCUUACUAUGGUUAUAUUGACGCUGAGGCACGAAAGCGUGGGGAUCAAACAGGAUUAGA
rnacentral:rRNA from 1 species